UUUCUUUCCGAUAUUCUUACGGCUAUCAUAACCUCCUUCUCGAGACCGAGUAUUGCCGCGGGAGUCGUUAAUGUCUGGUGACUGGAGUGUCGGCUACCGAUCAACCAUUUCUCACGAUUCCAACAGUCGUGAGCCUUUGCGCGUUUCCUCUUCGCAGCACCUACGGAUCGGUGCUGGUUUCGUGGACAUUAUUAGAGUGGAGAAUUAUGACUGGUUGAGACAGUUUCCUCGCAUCAUGAGCUGUGGUAGAGGAAGCCAUGGCUGCGGGCUGAAGAUGCUGUCUCCUGGAACCAGCAAGUCGGCCCUUGACUGAGGGUGGUGGGCAGAGAAGCAGCGGCAACAUCGCAGCCAAGAACAAGGUAGAAGUGGAAAACAGUACUGGCCACUCCAGGGCUUGGUUGGACCCAGGUUCCCCCCACUUGAUGCCCAAUAGGAGGCCCCAGCUAACUUCAGAACCAAUCCACGAGGCCUCUGGUGCUGUUAAACAUCUGCUAAGGACGUUGGCACGAACACUCAAGCAUGGUGUGUUGCAAAUCACCAAAAGCAGCAGCAGCUGCUGCAUUCAAGGUAUUCGGGCAUCUGUUACGCAGGCCAGUGGUGGCUACCAUCUGGAGAAUCGCAUGGAACCACUGCUUUCCAGAGAAAAUUGAUCUGUGCGUUGAUGCCGCCAUGAUCAUUAACAUUUGAUUUGAUUGUGAAGUCGACAUGCAUAUCAAGGAGUGCGUCCUGAAAGUCGGCCAGGUUGAGGCCCUCGGCAGACCUGGACUGGCACGUAUAGACACGCAUGGACUGCUCGUCGCAUAGCUGCAGCGUAUGACAGAGUGCGCCACUGAGUCCUGAAGCAAAUUGACCUCACAGAAGGGUUCGCGAGCAACGCUUUACAAGCAGGUGAAGGAGGUUACAUACAAAAUAAAAUAACAUUUAACGAGGUGCUGAAACACUUUUCUAACUAAUCAUAGAAUGGCCUCGCUAUUAAAUGAAGUCUUCUCAUGAAUCUCCCAAAAAAUUUUCAAAUCCUUCAAGCAUAAUUGGAUCUAUUGCACUGAUACGUGGCUUUCUCACUUUUCGUCUCCACUAGCGUGCUAGAACGCUACACAGGGGAGCAGCCAAGGGGCAAAGCCCCUGCCAAACUUUGAGUGUUUUGGAGGCGAAGGGCUCAUCUUGGCACUUUAUGCUUGCUGCGGUGGACUACACUACACAGCACGCUGCGGCUAUCUCGGAGACCACGUGCAGCAGAUGCAGCUU